CACUGCACUCCGGCCUGGGUGACACAGCGAGACUGCGUCUCAAAAAAAAAAAAAAAGAAAGAAAGAAAAAGAUGUUCUGAAAGAAACUCCAGGAUGAGCAACUGCCUUCAAGGGCAGAGGUUUUAAGUUGCCAAUAAAAUAAAAUAGUGACAAGUAAACACUGCGCCUCAUCAAGAGGAGCAAGGCAGCUUCUGUUGUGUAGCCGAUGUUCCCAUUUUCAGAACGUAGAUGUAGGUGAGUGAGAAGAAAGAGGAUAUAUAAACCGUCUUCCAGCUCAAAUUUGAAAUUAAAAGAAAAAAAGACCUAAAAGAGGGGGCCUGCCCUCCACCAACAAGGCAGCAAACCUUGCAGCCUGUGGGGCUUCACCAUAGCACAAACCAAGCACCUUUACUUGCAGCUCUCUAAGGGCCCAGAUUUGAGUUUUGACUCAGAGAAGAGAGAGCAGAGGUCUCUAGAAAUGCCUGUUGGGUUUGAAGAAUGCUGAUGACAUUUUUGCAACUAUCCUUUAUCAUCUGUUUUCUGUACUUCCACCACUGGCUCCACCUUUUUCUUUCUGCAGUUCAAAAUCGUUCUGUGAAAUAUCUCCUCCAUUUCAAAUCUUGGCUCUUCACCACUCAGUUUAAGAGUAGCAAACACCUUGCAGCCUGAGGUUCCACCUUGAACAUGGAGAACAUUCAAACACAAUAUGGGGGAGGAGGCGACCUGCGUGACUUUUAACAUCCCCUUCAUAUCCUCCCACUGGGCGCAUUUUAAGCGCCAGCGCUCACCACAUCCGGCUGCCCCACCGCCCGCGCCCGGAGCCCCAACAUUCCCAGUCCUCUCCCUUCUCUCACUUCUAGGUCAACAAAUAUUUUAAUAGGUCCUUUUGAACAGAUGUGGCCUGUAGAUGUAUGCAAUGACCCCAUCGGAAAUAAUUUGGGGUGAAGGGGGAAGGCGACCUUCCUCUCCAGGAGAGCCUUUAUUGUAUAAUCUCUAGUUAAUGAGCCUCUCUCUGGGCCUCAAACCGGGCGAGUUAUUAUCCGUGUCUGCAAGUCUGGAGAAGAGGCUAAGAAGCAAACCUCCUGGGUGUCCGGGACCACCGGCCUUAGCCUUCUCCAAGCCCAGGGCAGGGCGAGAAGAACAUGGCCCGGUUCCCCUCGGGGUCUCUGGCCCAGCUGCGGAGGGGGAAAGGUCCACAUUGCCUUUAUGAGCUGUAAUACUCACUGCGAAGGUCUGCAGCUUCACUCCUGAAGCCAGCGAGACCACGAACCCACCGGGAGAAAUGAACAACUCCACACGCGCGGCCUUAAGAGCUGUAACACUCACGGCAAAGGUCCGCAGCUUCACUCCUGAGCUAGCGAGACCACGAACCCACCAGAAGGAAGAAACUCCGAACACAUCCGAACAUCAGAAGGAACAAACUCCAGACGCGCCACCUUAAGAGCUGUAACACUCACCGCGAGGGUCCGCGGCUUCAUUCUUGAAGUCAGUGAGACCAAAAACCCACCAAUUCCGGACACAGUAUUAGCCGACUUUCCCAUUUUCCCCCAGUUUCAUGAAUAUGAAGUGGAUGGUACAUCACUGUAAUUUACUCUUUCCUAGAAUUUUACCUUUUCCCUGAAUUUUACUUAUUCAAGGCUUUUAAAAUUCUCUAAACCAGUAUUGUUCAAUAGAACUUUCUUGCCAGGGUGGAAAUGUUCUCCCUUUGAUGGGUUUCUUUCCACUUUAGUGAGUCCUCUAAACUGCCAUCCAUUUUCCUACAAAGGAAAUCUGAUCAUGUCAACUAAACUUUAAAAUGUGACAAAACUGGAAAAAGUUUAGAUUAUCUGUGGUUUAUUUAUUGCCUACAGGCUGCACCAAAUUAUAAAGCUUGGACCACAAGGGUUUUAUAUCCAGCUCUGCUCUGUAUUUCCACCUUUAUCUCCAGGCUCUGAAUCCCACAUGCUCUGUGCUGAACUUCUUACUCAAAAAACACCAUAUCCCAGCUCUCUGAACCUUGUACUUGCAGGCCUCUCUCCUUGGUUUGCAUUUUUUCUUCCCUCACUUGCUACUCAUGCUUCUUUCCUAGCAUGCCUCCUCUACCAGAAUGAGCUUCAUGGGGAUGAAAGACUUUUCUUAUUCAUUUUUGUAUCCCUAGUAUCCACCCUGGUGCAAGCAAAAUAGCUGGGGUGCAAUAUUUGUUGAACGCGUGCAUGAAUGAGUGAGCGAAGUGUACUACCAAAAAAAAUGGCUGAAGGAGAAAAAUAUAGAAUACAGUAAAUAACUCUAAAACAACAGCCUUCUAUCAACCAUAGGCUAUAGGUAAUUCAAAAUAGGUAAUUCUUAUAUUAAACUGUAUUCUUUUCCACUGACCUUUUAAUUUAUUAUGGGUUAGUAUUAUUCCUCCUAGUUAACAAAGAAAAACUUUCCCAAAACCUGUCACUGAAGAAUGCUUCAGCUACAAGAAGCAGAGAAACAAAAUCAAAAGAACAAGCACGUAAAACCUGAUGACCAGUAGCUUAAACAAACAUUUUUUUUUUUUCCAAUUCAUAAGAAGCCUGAGGAGACUGCAACUGGGACAGACUGUGGCAUCUCUGCUAAGCUCUGACCUUUUCCUUCCUGUCACAGAGCUGCUGCUGCUCCUGACAGAUCCAUAUUGAAUGAAGAGGAGAAAGAAGGAACAAUGCCAGCUUGACUAUCCCUUAUGAAAGCAAAAAUGUUCCCACAACACCCCAUCACAGCAGACUUCUUAUAAUUUUAUUGGCCAAAAUUGGGUAAAUGGCCACUCCUAGCAUCCAAGGAGGUACAGAUGACCUUCACAGUUAUGAGCCAAUGAAUGGGACGCAUUGCCAGCACAAGGCAAAGAGGGUUUUGUUAGUGAGGAAGAAAGGCUAAUAGUGGAUAGUUAGCAAAGCAUCUUCCAUAAAACAAGACCCAGCAUUUAAAACGUUAAAACCAAAUAUCUGGUCUAAUCUCAUGUUUUAGCCACUCCCAUUCCACCUCCCAGAAGGCAUAGAGGCCUGAAGACUUAAAAUGUCCCAAGAUGUACUAUAGGACUUUCGGGCUUUUGACUUGCAGACCCUGUUUCCCUUUAACAAGAAGAAAAAAAAAAAUAGGGGGUGGGGGAACUAAAAAUAGGCAUAGUGAAAAGGAGGAAUUAUAAAAUUGGAUUCAAGAAGUUGCCUCUAUACCAGGGCUGCUACUUCAGAUUGCUUGAAUUGGGUCCUUCUUACUGUGACCCACUGCUCACAGAACUGGACAUUCAGCGUUUACCUUUCUAAGACAUCACAGUGCACACAAAUCAAGGAGACAGACAGCAAUGCUGCAGCAGGGCAGGAGGAACAUGGAAUUAGGCUGAAGGGUAAACAUCAGGGUUCACCAUCGAUCUAUCUAUUUAUUUCAAGUGCCGUGACUGGAUCCCUGAAUGCAAAAUAUUUGGGUCAGAUCCUGGAGUAAAUAAGGCAUUAAUUGGCAGCAGCUUAGAUGACUAAAGUGGAGAGAAAUGUAUGAAAGGUAGAUUAUAAAUACACUAUAUCCUUUUUGUAUGUUGCUGACAGUGCUGGCAAGGUAAUACAAUUUUAGGAUAAUGAAAAGGGAUAAAAUAAGAACAUUAUUUCUUGAUAAUUUCCAAGAAGAUAUGAACCACUUGUUGUAUAUAUGUCCUAUAUGCCUCACGUGAACUUCCUACCUUUUCAGUUUCUCCAAAUUUUAUCUCCUUUUUAAGUCUCUGCAAUUUACUACUACAACUCAUUUGUUCAUUCAUCUUUUAACAAGUAACUCAAGUUCCAUUUGAGCAAGUUCCUAGCACCAUAAACAAACCAACUCUGGAGAGUGAAUUUGGAAGAAUGGAGGACACUGUCUGCUGGAUAAAUAGUGUUACGGACUGCAUGUUUGUAAUCUCCCAAAAUUCAUAUGUUGAAACUUUAGCCCCCAGAGGAAUGGUAGUAAGACAUGGUGUCUUUGGCAGGUAAUUAGGUUUAAAUGAGAUCAUGAAGGUGGAGUCCUCAUAAUAGGAUUAGUAUACUUAUAAGGAGAGAAACAGACUAGCACUUGCAAUCUCUGCCAUGUGAGGACACAGCAAAAAUACGUCUGUCUGCAAACCAGGAAGAAGGGACUCACCAAGAACCCAACCAUGAAGCACCCUGAUCUUGAACUUCCAGCCUCUAGAACUGUGAAAAGUAAAUAUUUGUUGUUUAAGCCACCCAGUCUAUGGUAUUUCUGUUAUAGCAGCCCUGAUUGACUAAAAUAAAUAGGGAUUUUUAAAAAAUGGCUACAUUUGCUUAUGAAUGAAUUGAUAAUUACUUUCCCUCCA
rnacentral:lncRNA from 10 species